GGCGAACGGGUGAGUAACACGUGAGUAACCUGCCCUUGACUUUGGGAUAACUUCAGGAAACUGGGGCUAAUACCGGAUAGGAGCUCCUGCUGCAUGGUGGGGGUUGGAAAGUUUCGGCGGUUGGGGAUGGACUCGCGGCUUAUCAGCUUGUUGGUGGGGUAGUGGCUUACCAAGGCUUUGACGGGUAGCCGGCCUGAGAGGGUGACCGGCCACAUUGGGACUGAGAUGCGGCCCAG
rnacentral:rRNA from 1 species